rnacentral:sRNA from 1 species
GGAAGAACGUGAAGAUCAACUUUGACAAUGUUGGGGCAGGAUACCUGGCCCUUCUUCAAGUAGAACAAAGCCCUCCUGGGACCUGUAGUAACA